GAUGAACGCUAGCGGGAGGCCUAACACAUGCAAGCCGAGCGGUAGAGUUUCUUCGGAAACUUGAGAGCGGCGCACGGGUGCGUAACACGUGUGCAACCUACCUUUAUCUGGGGGAUAGCCUUUCGAAAGGAAGAUUAAUACCCCAUAAUAUAAUGAUUGGCAUCAAUUAUUAUUGAAAACUCCGGUGGAUAGAGAUGGGCACGCGCAAGAUUAGAUAGUUGGUGAGGUAACGGCUCACCAAGUCAAUGAUCUUUAGGGGUCCUGAGAGGGAGAUCCCCCACACUGGUACUGAGACACGGACCAGACUCCUACGGGAGGCAGCAGUGAGGAAUAGUGGACAAUGGGUGAGAGCCUGAUCCAGCCAUCCCGAGUGAAGGAUGACGGUCCUAUGGAUUGUAAACUUCUUUUGUACAGGGAUAAACCUACCCUCGUGAGGGUAGCUGAAGGUACUGUACGAAUAAGCACCGGCUAACUCCGUG
rnacentral:rRNA from 1 species